AAGUCGUAACAAGGUUUCCGUAGGUGAACCUGCGGAAGGAUCAUUAACACGUAUCCAACGUUAAACCCCCCGUGAACCUUCAGUGCGCUCGCACUUUCUUAGAAAAGGUAGCAAUCCCUGGUAAAUCAUUGCCGAACAGUUUUGAUUCAGGGACUUCUGCGUAGACUGUGCUUGAGCGUGAGGCAAGUGGCCUGGCAUUCCUCUGCUUGUUGGUGUCUGAAAGUGUCACCAGCUCUGUACACGGCCGGCGACCGGGUCACUGGGCGCGAGCCCCCCUCGUCACCUUUGCAUGAAAACGGGCCUGCGCUUAAUUGUGCGGCCACCAAACUCGAACAACUGUUAACAAUGGAUAUCUUGGUUCUC
rnacentral:misc_RNA from 1 species